rnacentral:rRNA from 1 species
GUGGGGAAUCUUGCGCAAUGGGCGAAAGCCUGACGCAGCCAUGCCGCGUGAAUGAUGAAGGUCUUAGGAUUGUAAAAUUCUUUCACCGGGGACGAUAAUGACGGUACCCGGAGAAGAAGCUCCGGCUAACUUCGUGCCAGCAGCCGCGGUAAUACGAAGGGGGCUAGCGUUGCUCGGAAUUACUGGGCGUAAAGGGCGCGUAGGCGGACAGCUUAGUCAGAGGUGAAAGCCCAGGGCUCAACCUUGGAAUUGCCUUUGAUACUGGCUGUCUUGAGUUUGGGAGAGAUGAGUGGAACUCCGAGUGUAGAGGUGAAAUUCGUAGAUAUUCGGAAGAACACCAGUGGCGAAGGCGACUCACUGGCCCAAUACUGACGCUGAGGCGCGAAAGCGUGGGGAGCAAACAGGAUUAGAUACCCUAGUAGUCC